UUGAGAUAUUUUAGCAGAGAUUCCACGUGUGUAGAAGCGAAUACCUCCGUUGGCGCACAAUAGCGGGAGACACGAUGGUAAAAGCAUUGAUUAUCGUCCAAAUUUUGCCGCUCUAGUAUUUGAUAAUUUUAUCAAAUAUUGAUAAAAUUAUCAAUUUCCCCACAAAUAGUUAACCAUAUUUUGUAAAAAACAAAUGAAUAAAUUAUCAUUAUCAUCAUUGUUAAUAAGUGAUGGUUUUUCCGUCCGAUCAAAAUAAUAAAAAGCUAUCACGUCGCCUCAUUCUAAAUAAGGGGUAUUUACGUAGAUUAGAUGGAUUCGUCGGACUAUCAGAUAUUUUUAUAUUUUUGGUUAACAUACUAUACGUGGUUUAGCGCAAAAUUGACGCAUUGUUUUGCCUCACAUCGGGUCAAUGUUUCCGUCUCAUUCUGCUUCUUCUCUUCGUCUUCCCUAUAUCCAAGUUUCUAGAGCAAUGAAUUUCUUUCAAACUUCACACAUUUUGUGGCUAAUUUGCCUCAGAUCUAUUGUGGUAAGUGUUUCUCCAACUAAUUUCUCUGAUUGUCCUUGUUUCUGAGCAAUUUUUCCUGUAUUUUUAUACAAUCUUCACAUGCAUAUGUACAAAUAGAUACUUCAAUGCGUGCUUGUUCUCUAAUGGUGUUUCGCUUCAGACAAUUAGCAGUGAACCUAUUUCGAAUAGGUGAAUCCAAGGUGUUCGAUGAAAUGCCUAAAUAAGCCAACUAUUUGGCAAGAAUUUUCAUUGUUUCUUUUUUUGCUAUUAGCCGGGAAAUUAGGGUUGCAUUGAUGUAAUUAGAUAUUAGUCUUCACCUCUUCAGUUCUUUGUUAAAGUUUAGGUAGUUUUUUUUACGUUUUGGUAUGAUAAAAGUUAUUUUGCCCAGCUGCAAAAUCUGUUGUUGGAAAUGUUUCUCGUGUGAAUUAUAAUCAUAACGCCUAGGUAAUCAAUGUGUGUGCUUAUAGCUAUUAUAAAUCAACUAGAACUGAUUCUUUUCUUUAUUUCGACGCUUUUUACAUUUAUCAGCAUUUUCCUUUCUUGUUGUGUAGUAACUUUUUCCCCUAAUAAAUAAUCAAAAAUUUCAAGGGCACAGGGAAGUGAAACUAUUGAUAUCAAAGAUUCUUUAUCUCAUUUUUUUCAUCUUUUCGUAAGUUAUUCAUAGGUAAAUGUAGCAGGCAACUAUAUCUUCUUUGUUCCUGUCUGUAGCCUCCGCUUGAAAUUUCGUAUAAGAGAGUGAGGCUCUAUUAUAUUAUGGGGUUAUUAGUUGUGCUAUUAUACUUCUCUUAGAGAAGUAUGAAUCCAAGAUGAGUUGUUGAUCAGAAAGACACAAAGGCUUGCAAUGUCCUUUAGGACACUGAUAGGUGUCGAUGAUAGUUCCAAAAGAAUUGAGGAUUGUGCCUAAAGUUAUUAGGAGUGGAUCGAUCAGUCACUUCUUCUAUUUUAUUUUCUAUACUUUGUAAGUUCUUGCAUAGUGUUAAGCUCGAUCAAUUUAACUAAGAGGAAGUAAAAGAAUUUCUAAGCAAAAUAUAAGAAGGGUAAGGAGAAUAUGGUACACAAUGAGGAUGAUAUCUCAUUGUAAAUCAACGAAAGGAUGUACAGGUUAGUAUUGCCAAUGGUGAAAGACAAUCAAAAGAUCCAUCAUUUUGCAAUUUUACUUUCAUCAGAUAAACUCCUUCCACUUCUUCAAACAAGAAGGUUGUGGUAUUGCUUCAAAAACUUUGGACCUUAGCUGAAAGACCAAAAGAGAUUGUGAUAUGUUUUAGUAAUAUGUUCAAAGAAAACAAAUUAUUUAGCCUUUUUAACCAACUCCCAGUCUAAUGUUAUUUUCCACAAACAAUUUUUGUUUUAUGUCUCAAAAUUGUGUAGAUAUCAAGUUUAAUCAUCUCUUCUUUAUUUACGUUUCAAUACUUAAGUCCGUGCCCUUCCACGAGCAUCCUUUAUCUACUACAUGUAUAAGAGUCCUAAUCUAUUUUAUUUUUGGCAUUGGGCCUUGUAAUGAAAUUUGAGUGAGACAUUAAAAUAACAUCCAAACUUACUUUGCCGCUGUUAA